CGGACGGGUGAGUAACGCGUGAGGAACCUGCCUUUCAGAGGGGGACAACAGUUGGAAACGACUGCUAAUACCGCAUGACACAUAGAUGUCGCAUGGCAUUUAUGUCAAAGAUUUAUCGCUGAAAGAUGGCCUCGCGUCUGAUUAGCUAGUUGGUGAGGUAACGGCCCACCAAGGCGACGAUCAGUAGCCGGACUGAGAGGUUGAACGGCCACAUUGGGACUGAGAUACGGCCCAGACUCCUACGGGAGGCAGCAGUGGGGAAUAUUGGGCAAUGGGCGCAAGCCUGACCCAGCAACGCCGCGUGAAGGAAGAAGGCUUUCGGGUUGUAAACUUCUUUUGUCAGGGACGAGUAGAAGACGGUACCUGACGAAUAAGCCACGGCUAACUACGUGCCAGCAGCCGCGGUAAUACGUAGGUGGCAAGCGUUGUCCGGAUUUACUGGGUGUAAAGGGCGUGUAGCCGGGAGGGCAAGUCAGAUGUGAAAUCCACGGGCUCAACUCGUGAACUGCAUUUGAAACUACUCUUCUUGAGUAUCGGAGAGGCAAUCGGAAUUCCUAGUGUAGCGGUGAAAUGCGUAGAUAUUAGGAGGAA
rnacentral:rRNA from 1 species